UAAAUCAUAUCUUAAUAAAAGUAUUUCAUUUACAUUGAAAAGAUAUUAUAAUUUAUAAUUGAUUUAA
rnacentral:tRNA from 1 species